rnacentral:rRNA from 1 species
GGUGCUUGCAUCUUGAUUUAAUUUUGAACGAGUGGCGGACGGGUGAGUAACACGUGGGUAACCUGCCCUUAAGUGGGGGAUAACAUUUGGAAACAGAUGCUAAUACCGCAUAAAUCCAAGAACCGCAUGGUUCUUGGCUGAAAGAUGGCGUAAGCUAUCGCUUUUGGAUGGACCCGCGGCGUAUUAGCUAGUUGGUGAGGUAACGGCUCACCAAGGCAAUGAUACGUAGCCGAACUGAGAGGUUGAUCGGCCACAUUGGGACUGAGACACGGCCCAAACUCCUACGGGAGGCAGCAGUAGGGAAUCUUCCACAAUGGACGCAAGUCUGAUGGAGCAACGCCGCGUGAGUGAAGAAGGCUUUCGGGUCGUAAAACUCUGUUGUUGGAGAAGAAUGGUCGGCAGAGUAACUGUUGUCGGCGUGACGGUAUCCAACCAGAAAGCCACGGCUAACUACGUGCCAGCAGCCGCGGUAAUACGUAGGUGGCAAGCGUUAUCCGGAUUUAUUGGGCGUAAAGCGAGCGCAGGCGGUUUUUUAAGUCUGAUGUGAAAGCCCUCGGCUUAACCGAGGAAGUGCAUCGGAAACUGGGAAACUUGAGUGCAGAAGAGGACAGUGGAACUCCAUGUGUAGCGGUGAAAUGCGUAGAUAUAUGGAAGAACACCAGUGGCGAAGGCGGCUGUCUGGUCUGUAACUGACGCUGAGGCUCGAAAGCAUGGGUAGCGAACAGGAUUAGAUACCCUGGUAGUCCAUGCCGUAAACGAUGAAUGCUAGGUGUUGGAGGGUUUCCGCCCUUCAGUGCCGCAGCUAACGCAUUAAGCAUUCCGCCUGGGGAGUACGACCGCAAGGUUGAAACUCAAAGGAAUUGACGGGGGCCCGCACAAGCGGUGGAGCAUGUGGUUUAAUUCGAAGCAACGCGAAGAACCUUACCAGGUCUUGACAUCUUUUGAUCACCUGAGAGAUCAGGUUUCCCCUUCGGGGGCAAAAUGACAGGUGGUGCAUGGUUGUCGUCAGCUCGUGUCGUGAGAUGUUGGGUUAAGUCCCGCAACGAGCGCAACCCUUAUGACUAGUUGCCAGCAUUUAGUUGGGCACUCUAGUAAGACUGCCGGUGACAAACCGGAGGAAGGUGGGGAUGACGUCAAAUCAUCAUGCCCCUUAUGACCUGGGCUACACACGUGCUACAAUGGAUGGUACAACGAGUUGCGAGACCGCGAGGUCAAGCUAAUCUCUUAAAGCCAUUCUCAGUUCGGACUGUAGGCUGCAACUCGCCUACACGAAGUCGGAAUCGCUAGUAAUCGCGGAUCAGCACGCCGCGGUGAAUACGUUCCCGGGCCUUGUACACACCGCCCGUCACACCAUGAGAGUUUGUAACACCCGAAGCCGGUGGCGUAACCCUUUUAGGGAGCGAGCCGUCUAAGGUGGGACAAAUGAUUAGGGUGAAGUCGUAACAAGGUAGCCGUAGGAGAACCUGCGGCUGGAUCACCUCC